GCGCCUGUAGCUCAGUUGGUUAGAGCAAGCCGCUCAUAACGGCUUGGUCGUGGGUUCGAGUCCCUCCGGGCGCACCA
rnacentral:tRNA from 1 species